GUUUAUUAGCCAUCCUGUAGACUAGAAAUUAUGGAAUGCCGAUUGUUUCAAUAAUACUUCUGUUCCAAAUAUAAUACUUCUUUGCAAUUAUAAUACUUCGUGUCACACUUAUAAAACUUAUCAUCACUAAUAUAAAACUUCCAUGUAUAAAUAUCAUACUUCAUUGUAAAUAUAAAACUUCUUUGUAAAUAUAAUACUUCAUUGUAUUAAAAUAUAAUACUUGAUCGUAAUGCGCCGAUCAAAACGAAGGUGUAACAUCCCCCCCCCCGGGCAUAUACCCGGGCAUUUGACUUUUUGCAUUUUGCAGUGAUCAAAUUCCCCCACCCCAAGUCAAAUCAAAGGCCUUCGAGGCCGACUCACGGAUGAGAUCAAAUUAAUUAAAGGGGGAUAUGAUUUACAGCAUUUUUUUACAAAUGGGAACCGUGCAAGGGCAAGGACAUUAUUUGGUAAAACACAACAUAAUAUAAAAUGUUCCCGAACUGGGGCGAAGAUCUUACAGGUUUUUAAACAGUUUAAUUUUAACGACAUCCUCGAUUUUAACAAUAAGAGACCGGUCAUCAUUUAUGGAAGGGG